rnacentral:misc_RNA from 1 species
AAAAAUAGGUGUAAAUUAAUGAUUUUUGAGGUUAAUAAUUGGAAAUUAAAAUAGAGAAAUAAUUUAAGGAGCUGUUAGAUGAAGUAAAUUAUAAUGAUGUUAUUUUAUUUGGUUUUGUAAUUAGGGGAAGAAAUAAUAUAUUAUUUGAGAUAUUAUUUUGUUUGGUAAUUGAUAUGUUAGAAUUUGAAUUAAAUAUUUAUUU